rnacentral:lncRNA from 1 species
AUUGCAGCUUACAGAAGACCCAGCUAAGGCCAUGUCUGGACUUUAAAUCCACAGGAACUGCAAGAUGGUAUCAGAAGUGGGACCUGCAGUGGGGCAUCUAGCAACCCCCAGGAGCAUUAAGUGACAAGGCUUGGGACCCACCGGGCCCAGGGUGUCCAUUGUUCUCUCGAAGCAACUGAGAAUUGUGGAUAUUCUUCAUUAUUCCAUCAUCAUCUCAAACCUCUUGGGUAUAGUGUUUGACUGCUACUGUGACCAUAAAUUCCAAUAAAACCUAGGAAAAAAUGAAACCACUACAUUAACUGAAAGGAUAUCAGAGAGACUUCUCUACUGCUUGGGAUGCUUGUUCAGAGUAUAAUUUCCAUAGCAGCAAGAAAAGGAAUUUUUGUUUGUGGAUACUUUAAAGUAAAUAAAGCUAUUAUAGAAGGCAAAAG